GCUUGAGGAAAGUCCGGGCAACAUAGGGCGUCCCACUUUUGAAAGUGAAAGCAGGUCGCGAGGCUUGAGUAAUGUGGAAGAAAACAACCGCCAUUCUUCGGAAAGGUAAGGGUGAGAAGGUGGUGUAAGAGACCACCAGUCGUGUGGUGACAUACGAGCUGCACAUCUUGGGAGUUGCAAGUUCAUGUAAACUGGCGUUAUGAGGGCUGCCCGUCCAAGCCAGAGGGUAGAACGCUACAGCCUGUUGGCAACAACUGGCGCAGAUAAAUGACAAACACCUUUAUAUAAAGGCACAGAACCCGGCUUACAGGCCUGCUGCAGUU
rnacentral:RNase_P_RNA from 1 species